rnacentral:rRNA from 1 species
UACGUAGGGUGCAAGCGUUAAUCGGAAUUACUGGGCGUAAAGCGCGCGUAGGCGGACCAUCAAGUCGGGGGUGAAAUCCCGGGGCUCAACCCCGGAAUGGCCUUCGAGACUGGUGGUCUUGAGUUCGAGAGAGGUGAGUGGAAUUCCGAGUGUAGAGGUGAAAUUCGUAGAUAUUCGGAGGAACACCAGUGGCGAAGGCGGCUCACUGGCUCGACACUGACGUUGAGGUGCGAAAGCGUGGGGAGCAAACAGG